rnacentral:rRNA from 1 species
GAUGAACGCUGGCGGCGUGCCUAAUACAUGCAAGUCGAGCGAACGGACGAGAAGCUUGCUUCUCUGAUGUUAGCGGCGGACGGGUGAGUAACACGUGGAUAACCUACCUAUAAGACUGGGAUAACUUCGGGAAACCGGAGCUAAUUCCGGAUAAUAUUUUGGACCGGCAUGGUCAAAAAUUAAAGGCGGGCUUGCUGGCACUUAUAGAUGGAUCCGCGCUGCAUUAGCUAGUUGGUAAGGUAACGGCUUACCCAGGCAACGAUGCAUAGCCGACCUGAGAGGGUGAUCGGCCACACUGGAACUGAGACACGGUCCAGACUCCUACGGGAGGCAGCAGUAGGGAAUCUUCCGCAAUGGGCGAAAGCCUGACGGAGCAACGCCGCGUGAGUGAUGAAGGUCUUCGGAUCGUAAAACUCUGUUAUUAGGGAAGAACAUAUGUGUAAGUAACUGUGCACAUCUUGACGGUACCUAAUCAGAAAGCCACGGCUAACUACGUG